rnacentral:rRNA from 1 species
GAUGAACGCUGGCGGCGUGCUUAACACAUGCAAGUCGAACGGUGAAAGCGGAGCUUGCUCUGCUGGAUCAGUGGCGAACGGGUGAGUAACACGUGAGCAACCUGCCCCGGACUCUGGGAUAACAGUUGGAAACAGCUGCUAAUACCGGAUACGAGCUGCGAAGGCAUCUUCAGCAGCUGGAAAGAACUUCGGUCUGGGAUGGGCUCGCGGCCUAUCAGCUUGUUGGUGAGGUAAUGGCUCACCAAGGCGUCGACGGGUAGCCGGCCUGAGAGGGUGACCGGCCACACUGGGACUGAGACACGGCCCAGACUCCUACGGGAGGCAGCAGUGGGGAAUAUUGCACAAUGGGCGCAAGCCUGAUGCAGCAACGCCGCGUGAGGGACGACGGCCUUCGGGUUGUAAACCUCUUUUAGCAAGGAAGAAGCGAAAGUGACGGUACUUGCAGAAAAAGCGCCGGCUAACUACGUGCCAGCAGCCGCCGUAACAC